rnacentral:rRNA from 1 species
AGCGAACGCUGGCGGCAGGCCUAACACAUGCAAGUCGAGCGCCCGUAGCAAUACGGGAGCGGCAGACGGGUGAGUAACACGUGGGAACGUACCCUUCGGUUCGGAAUAACCCAGGGAAACUUGGAUUAAUACCGAAUACGUCCGUAAGGAGAAAGAUUUAUCGCCGAAGGAUCGGCCCGCGUCCGAUUAGCUUGUUGGUGGGGUAAUGGCCCACCAAGGCUACGAUCGGUAGCUGGUCUGAGAGGAUGAUCAGCCACACUGGGACUGAGACACGGCCCAGACUCCUACGGGAGGCAGCAGUGGGAAUAUUGGACAAUGGGCGCAAGCCUGAUCCAGCCAUGCCGCGUGGGUGAUGAAGGCCCUAGGGUUGUAAAGCCCUUUCGGCGGGAAGAUAAUGACGGUACCCGC